rnacentral:rRNA from 1 species
GUAGUCAUAUGCUUGUCUCAAAGAUUAAGCCAUGCAUGUCUAAGUAUAAGCAAUCUAUACAGUGAAACUGCGAAUGGCUCAUUAAAUCAGUUAUCGUUUAUUUGAUAGUACCUUACUACUUGGAUAACCGUGGUAAUUCUAGAGCUAAUACAUGCUAAAAACCUCGACUUCGGAAGGGGUGUAUUUAUUAGAUAAAAAACCAAUGCCCUUCGGGGCUCCUUGGUGAUUCAUGAUAACUUAACGAAUCGCAUGGCCUUGUGCCGGCGAUGGUUCAUUCAAAUUUCUGCCCUAUCAACUUUCGAUGGUAGGAUAGUGGCCUACCAUGGUUUCAACGGGUAACGGGGAAU